rnacentral:ncRNA from 1 species
CUACUAAUGACAAAACGUUGUUGCGACAGCAUUCCUUCGUAGUACGAGAGGAACCGCAGGUACGGACCAAUGGCACAAUACUUGUUCGAGCGAACAGUGGUAUGACGCUACGUCCGUUGGAUUAUGCCUGAACGCCUCUAAGGUCGUAUCCGUGCUGGACUGCAAUGAUAAAUAAGGGGCAAUUUGCAUUGUAUGGCUUCUAAACCAUUAAAAGUUUAUAAUUUAUUUUAUAAACGACAAUGGAUGUGAUGCCAAUGUAAUUUGUAACAUAGUAAAUUGGGAGGAUCAUCGAUCACCUGAUGCCGCGCUAGUUGCAUAUAAAAACAUUAUUUAAUACAAUGAUAAAGCCUAGAAUCAAUUGUAAACGACUUUUGUAACAGGCUAGGUGUUGUAAGUGGUUGAGCAGCUGCCAUACUGCGAUCCACUGAAGCUUAUCCUUUGCUUGAUGAUUCGA